GACGAACGCUGGCGGCGUGCUUAACACAUGCAAGUCGAACGGAAAGGCCCUGCUUUUGUGGGGUGCUCGAGUGGCGAACGGGUGAGUAACACGUGAGUAACCUGCCCUUGACUUUGGGAUAACUUCAGGAAACUGGGGCUAAUACCGGAUAGGAGCUCCUGCUGCAUGGUGGGGGUUGGAAAGUUUCGGCGGUUGGGGAUGGACUCGCGGCUUAUCAGCUUGUUGGUGGGGUAGUGGCUUACCAAGGCUUUGACGGGUAGCCGGCCUGAGAGGGUGACCGGCCACAUUGGGACUGAGAUACGGCCCAGACUCCUACGGGAGUCAGCAGUGGGGAAUAUUGCACAAUGGGCGGGAGCCUGAUGCAGCAACGCCGCGUGCGGGAUGACGGCCUUCGGGUUGUAAACCGCUUUCGCCUGUGACGAAGCGUGAGUGACGGUAAUGGGUAAAGAAGCACCGGCUAACUACGUG
rnacentral:rRNA from 1 species